rnacentral:rRNA from 1 species
UACGUAGGGUGCGAGCGUUAAUCGGAAUUACUGGGCGUAAAGCGUGCGCAGGCGGUUCGUUGUGUCGGUGGUGAAAGCCCCGGGCUUAACCUGGGAAUGGCCAUGGAAACUGGCGAACUGGAGUGUGGCAGAGGGGGGUGGAAUUCCGCGUGUAGCAGUGAAAUGCGUAGAGAUGUGGAGGAACACCAGUGGCGAAGGCGACUCUUUGGUCUGUAACUGACGCUGAGGCGCGAAAGCGUGGGGAGCAAACAGG